GAAAUGCGAUAAGUAGUGUGAAUUGCAGAAUUCAGUGAAUCAUCGAAACUUUGAACGCACAUUGCGCCCCUUGGUAUUCCAUGGGGCAUGCCUGUUCGAGCGUCAUUUGUACCCUCAAGCUCUGCUUGGUGUUGGGUGUUUGUCCCCGUCUCCGCGCGUGGACUCGCCCCAAAGUGAUUGGCAGCCGGCGUACUGGUCCCGGAGCGCAGCACAUGUCGCGCAAACGAGUGCCUUGGUACGGCGGCGUCCAUAAGCCCCUCUCUCACGCUCUUGACCUCGGAUCAGGUAGGGAUACCCGCUGAACUUAAGC
rnacentral:misc_RNA from 1 species